rnacentral:rRNA from 1 species
UACGGGGGGGGCAAGCGUUGUUCGGAAUUACUGGGCGUAAAGGGCUCGUAGGCGGCCAACUAAGUCGGACGUGAAAUCCCCAGGCUCAACCUGGGAACUGCGUCUGAUACUGGAUGGCUUGAAUCCGGGAGAGGGAUGCAGAAUUCCAGGUGUAGCGGUGAAAUGCGUAGAUAUCUGGAGGAAUACCGGUGGCGAAGGCGGCAUCCUGGACCGGCAUUGACGCUGAGGAGCGAAAGCUAGGGGAGCAAACGGG